GUGCUCACUCUGGCAGCACAUAUUCUAACAGUGGAAUGGUACAGAGAAGAUCCUGGCCCCUGUGCCAUGAGGUUAGGCAGAUUUGUGAAGCAUUUCAUAUAUAU